UGGUCAAGGUGAAGUGAACCUUUGCCUAGUCUUAUUUUUUUAAUAAGGCAAAAUCUUCAAAUUGCGGGAAAUUCUUAAAGACAAAUCUACCAAGUUAAUACAGUAAUGUAAUUAAUGGAACAGGUAAUGACUCGUUGUAAGGUAAAAACGAUUUGUAUGAAGAAAUGAAAUAGAUUAUCCGCAGCCAAGUACCAACUGUCUUUUAAGGAUAAAGGUAUGCAGUUCAUCGACUAAAUGGAGAUUGGUAAAUAAUUCUGUAUAAUUAUUUGCUUAAGAUAUAGUCAGUCAUAACUGAAAGGUUAUG
rnacentral:ncRNA from 1 species